rnacentral:rRNA from 1 species
UACAGAGGGGGCAAGCGUUGUUCGGAAUUACUGGGCGUAAAGGGCGCGUAGGCGGCCUGCUAAGUCGAACGUGAAAUCCCUGGGCUCAACCCAGGAACUGCGUCCGAUACUGGUUGGCUUGAAUCCGGGAGAGGGAUGUGGAAUUCCAGGUGUAGCGGUGAAAUGCGCAGAUAUCAGGAGGAACACCGGUGGCGAAGGCGGUUCUCUGGGCAUUACCUGACGCUGAGGAGCGAAAGUGUGGGGAGCGAACAGG